GGGCUCAUAGCUCAGUGGCAGAACAUCUGCCUUACAUGCAGAAGGACCUGGGUUCAAUCCCAGGUAAGGCUG